GGUGAGCGGCGGACGGGUUAGUAACGCGUGGGAACGUACCCUUUUCUACGGAAUAGCCUUUGGAAACGAAGAGUAAUACCGUAUACGCCCUUUGGGGGAAAGAUUUAUCGGAGAAGGAUCGGCCCGCGUUAGAUUAGAUAGUUGGUGGGGUAACGGCCUACCAAGUCUACGAUCUAUAGCUGGUUUUAGAGGAUGAUCAGCAACACUGGGACUGAGACACGGCCCAGACUCCUACGGGAGGCAGCAGUGGGGAAUCUUAGACAAUGGGCGCAAGCCUGAUCUAGCCAUGCCGCGUGAGUGAUGAAGGCCUUAGGGUCGUAAAGCUCUUUCGCCUGUGAUGAUAAUGACAGUAGCAGGUAAAGAAACCCCGGCUAACUCCGUGCCAGCAGCCGCGGUAAUACGGAGGGGGUUAGCGUUGUUCGGAAUUACUGGGCGUAAAGCGCACGUAGGCGGAUUGGAAAGUUGGGGGUGAAAUCCCGGGGCUCAACCCCGGAACUGCCUCCAAAACUAUCAGUCUAGAGUUCGAGAGAGGUGAGUGGAAUUCCAAGUGUAGAGGUGAAAUUCGUAGAUAUUUGGAGGAACACCAGUGGCGAAGGCGGCUCACUGGCUCGAUACUGACGCUGAGGUGCGAAAGUGUGGGGAGCAAACAGGAUUAGAUACCCUGGUAGUCCACACCGUAAACGAUGAAUGCCAGUCGUC
rnacentral:rRNA from 1 species